GUCUAUGGCCAUCUCACCCCAAACAAGCCCGAUCCCGUCUGAUCUUAGAAGCUAAGCAGGGUUGGGCUUGGUUUGUACUUGGAUGGGAGACCACCUAGGAAGACCAGGUACUGUAGGCU
rnacentral:rRNA from 1 species